CCUACGGGAGGCAGCAGUGAGGAAUAUUGGUCAAUGGGCGCGAGCCUGAACCAGCCAAGUCGCGUGAGGGAGGACGGCCCUACGGGUUGUAAACCUCUUUUGCCGGGGAGCAACGGGCGUCACGUGUGGCGCCACUGAGAGUCCCCGGAGAAAAAGCAUCGCCUAACCCCGUGCCAGCAGCCGCGGUAAUACGGGGGAUGCGAGCGUUAUCCGGAUUUAUUGGGUUUAAGGGGUGCGUGGGCGGAGCGUUAAGUCAGUGGUAAAAUUGAGGGGCUCAACCCCUUCCCGCCAUUGAAACUGGCGCUCUUGAGUGGAAGAGAAGUAUGCGGAAUGCGUGGUGUAGCGGUGAAAUGCAUAGAUAUCACGCAGAACCCCGAUUGCGAAGGCAGCAUGCCGGCUUCCGACUGACGCUGAAGCACGAAAGCGUGGGGAUCGAACAGGAUUAGAUACCCGGGUAGUC
rnacentral:rRNA from 1 species